GAGGCGCGUUUUUGUGGCGCAUUUCCUGGCGUCAGCUCCGAAGGCGGAAAAGCGGAGAGAGCGACGGGCUUCGCCCCGGCCAGCCUGCCCUCCUUCUAACCGCCCGCCAUGGCGUCGGAGGGGCCGCGGGAGCCCGCGGGCGAGGGCAUCAAGUUGUCAGCAGAUGUCAAACCGUUUGUCCCCAAAUUUGCUGGACUCAGUGUGGCAUGGUCAGAAUCUUCAGAAACACGGGUUUUCCCCAGCUGUGCAGCCACGACUUACUAUCCAUGUGUCCAGGAACUAGCAGUGCCUGAACAGAAACUCUAUACUGAAGGAAUGGCUUUUGGAGCUUCAACUUUUCCACCUCAGUAUUUAUCUUCUGAGAUCACUCUUCAUCCAUACGCCUAUCCUCCUUACACCCUGGAGUCCUCACAAAAUGUAUGCCCUGCGCCUGGCUCCCAGUAUGAUUACAACCAACCCACUUGUUUUGGAGGUUUUCAAACAGUGAAGCCACGAAAUGAGCACAUAGUGAAGCCACGAAACGAGCACAUGUACCCUCUCCCACAAGACAUGAAAGCUCUGUUUAAGAAGAAAACCUAUGAUGAGCAAAGGUUUGACAGUAAGAAGACUGAUGGACCUAUAUCAUCUGAUUUAAAAUCAGUUAAAGGUUCACAUCCUAUGUCCAUUCAUGCCGAGAGUAGUUUGAAAUCAGAUGGUUAUUAUAAACGAACAGAGAGAAAAUCCAGAAUCAUUGAAAAAAGUGGAUCUGCCUCCAAACCUGAGUUUGAAUUUACCAGGUUGGAUUUUCCUGAACUGCAGGGUCCAGAGAGCAGGGAGAUACCAGAGAUACAAAAGCAGCCCAAGUGGGGGCCUUUACGCUCUGCCUCUACUGAUGUUUCGCUUCUGAGAGAAGCGGGGAAACCUGCCGUGGCGUUACCAGAGGGUGAAAUAGUGGUGAAAAAUAAUAAUCCGACUGAGUCUGUAACUGAUAAUGCUGCUGCCAAUCCCUCUUCAUGUACAAGAGAAUUAUCUUGGACACCAAUGGGUUAUGUUGUUCGGCAGACAUUAUCUACAGAACUGUCACCAGCCCCUAAAAAUGUUACUUCCAUGAUAAACCUAAAGAUGAUUGCUUCAUCAGCAGAUCCUAAAAAUGGUAGUAUGUCCUCUUCUGAAGUCUUAUCUUCGGAUCCUUGCUUCAAGGAGAAACACGUUGUCCAUCCUACUAAAAAGUCCAAAGCAUCACAGUGUUGCCAUCCUGAGCAAAAUGAAGUCUCAAGAAAGAAUAAGAAAAAGAAAGAAAAGUCUAAGUCAAAAUAUGAAGUCCUGACAGUUCAAGAGCCACCAAGGAUUGAAGAUGCCGAGGAGUUUCCCAAUCUGGCUGUUGCAUCUGAAAGAAGAGACAGAGUAGAAUCACCGAAAUUUCAGUCUAAACAGCAGCCACAGAAUAAUUUUAAAAGUAGUGGAAAGAAGAGCCAGAUUCCAGUACAGUUGGAUUUGGGGGGGAUGCUGACUGCGCUGGAAAAGAAGCAGCACUCUCCAAAUGCAAAGCAGUCCUCCAAACCAGUGGUGUUCUCAGUCGGGGCUGUACCCGUCCUCUCCAAAGACUCCGUGUCAGGGAAGAAGGGACACCGCUUUGGCCAGGUGAAGACCCCGCACAACCCCUUAGACUCCAGCGCCCCCCUGAUGAAGAAGGGAAAGCAGAGGGAGGUCCCCAAGGCCAAGAAGCCAACCUCACUGAAGAAGAUAAUUUUGAAAGAACGGCAGGAGAGAAAGCAGCAGCGUCUUCAAGAGAAUGCUGUGAGCCCAGCUUUUGCCGGUGAUGAUUUGCAAGAUGGAGAGAGGGGUGGAGACGACCAGGCCCUCGAGCAGCUUGACCCCUCAGGGGAGACGGAAGAGUCUGUGUCCUGUGCUUCUGUGGAGAACAAGUCAGAAGAGUGGCUGGGAGCUGAGCUCCAGAAGGAGGCGGAGGCCUGCCCCAAGAUCCACAGCCGGCGAUUCAGGGAUUACUGCAGCCAGAUGCUCAGUAAAGAAGUUGACGCUUGUGUCACAGACCUGCUGAAAGAGCUGGUUCGUUUCCAAGACCGUAUGUACCAGAAAGAUCCCGUCAAGGCUAAGACCAAACGCCGACUUGUGUUGGGGCUGAGGGAAGUCCUUAAACAUCUGAAGCUCAGAAAGUUGAAAUGCAUCAUCAUCUCUCCCAACUGUGAGAAGAUACAGUCGAAAGCUUCCAAAACAUUUUUGCUCGUCUCUCAUUCUUCUGUGGAUUUUCAUCUUUAGAAGACAAACCAAACAACAGGAAUGUGUGUAUUCAGUUGGCGGUCCACCCCGAUCUUCUUGUAAGGCCCAACCCCACUUUGACUGUGCUAGGAGUGUAUUGAUGGGCAGCUGGAAGAUUUGCUACGCGUUUAAAAAAUGUUUUAUUGUUUGUCCCUACCUUUUUUUUUCCCCCUUGCAUUGAGGCUAUAAGAAAAUUGUAUCUUAGGAAUGUUUCUUCCUUGGAAAAGAUAGCCAGUAAUGGAUGCAGUCAUUUUAAGGUAAAAUUUAGUAUGAUAGCCUGGGAUUAUGUUCAAAUACUGUAUUUGCUUAGAAUGGCAUUUUGACUGAUAAUUCUGAACUCAAACGGAAAUUGUUUGUCUGAUUGAGCACUUGAUUGUUUUCACUUGUCUUGCAGAGCUUUGAGUAGUUGGCACUUGGAGAUGCUUUCUGCUCUCACUAGAACCGUCAGCUGGGAGCUGGACUGAGCAGAACCGUCUAGAUUUGGCUACUGUGUCAGGAAAGCAGUACAUGCUUCCAGCGUCCUCUCCCAGGCAUGUCAGACAGGACACGCGGAAUUCCCCUGAAACGAGAUGUAACAACAGUGUGAAGUGUCGUGUUAGCUCCUUAGAGAUGAGCACCCAGGGUUUUGGGGGGCACUGGUUACAUGGGCACCCUUUGUCUGGCUUGUCCCCAAACUCCAGACUUGCAAAAGGAAAGCUGGUGUCCGGCUCAGUCUUCAUUGUUCCCAUCCACCUUUCGGCACAAGAGCAAUUCUUAGCAGAUUGGGUGGCAGGGGCCUUCCUAGAACCUGAGCUCAGGCACCAGCCUGGGGUCAGCUGCUCAAGCUGGCCUUUUUAAGGACCGUCGGGCUGGUCAUGUUAUAUAGCUCUUUCUGCACACAGCUCUUGUGGUCAACUCUGGGGUUGGGAUAGACACGAGUAGGGAGAGAGCCUUGAGUGAAAGGCCCCAGGGCUGAUGUUUAAGAGACCUGGUCAGUGUCUCAUAAUAAGUUGAAAAUAUCUCGCUGGAAGGAACACAGCCAUCGCCCCACCUCUGGCACUGUUGCCCCUUUUCCCCACCUGCCCAGGAAAGUUUCUAUCCCCAGAGGUUGCUUCCUCAUCACCUUUCAUACUCUUCAGGUAGAUCUGGGGCAGGGAGUGGGCAGAUUUAAGGGAUGUGGGGCGUGACUGUUAAUCCCCCAUCAAACCAGCUGUAGAAAGAGUGCCCAGUUCCCUCAGAGCAGUAGGAUGUGCAUGUGAGAAGUUCCUCUUUUGAAAGAAGGUUAGGCGAUCGCAUGUAAUUAGGUACCAGGUGACAGGAGAUACUGGGAAAUGUUCCUUCCCGUUCAGGUGUUGUGUGUUCCCUAUGGGAGGUGGUCAGUUUGCAGAGCAGCAGGGGCAGUGCUGCGCUGUGACCUCCCUCCAGAUGCUCCGUUCAAACAGCUCACCAUGCGCAGGGGGGCAGGACUCAGUGCUUGUUGCUUUCCUUGGGGGAGUAAGUCCCCAGAUUCUUGCCACCCAGAGGCAAAAAAUGCAUAUGUCACUCUGCCUCCCAGGGACACGGUGCCCCCACAGCUGUACCUGCUGUUGUUCCUGGCCUUCUCACCCUCUGGGGGAGGUUGUGUUAGCAUUUUCUUGUGAGGGGGGUUGUUGAGCGUCUUUCCACCUGUACCUUUUUUUUUUUUUGCUUAGGUGUUACUUUCAUUAUUUAAUUUUAUUGAAAAAAAUUUUAAUUGAAGUAUAGUUGGUUUGUAAUAUCCUGUAAGUUUCAGGCAUAUAGCCUAAUGAUUCAGUUAUAAAUAUCUACUCUUUUUCGGAAUCUUUUCCUUUAAAGGUUAUAACAAAAUAUUGAGUGUAGUUCCUUGGGGUAUCCAGUCAGCCCUUAUUGAUUAUGUGUUUUAUAUAUAGUAGUGAGUAUCUGCUAAUCUGAGACUCCCAAUUCAUGCCUCCUGCCACCCUGCUUCCCCUUUGGUAACCAUAAGUUUGUUUUCUAUGUGUGUGAGUCUGUUUUUGUUUUGGAAAUACAUUCAUUUAUGUGUGUGUAUUUUAUUUUAUUUUAUUUUUGUUUUUUUUAGGACUGCACCUACAGCAUAUGGAAGUUCCCAGGCUAGGAGUCGAAUCGGAGCUACAGCUGCCGGCCUACACCACAGCCACAGCAACGCCAGAUCCUUAACCCACUGAGCAAGCCCAGGGAUCAAACCUCCAUCCUCAUGGAUGCUGUUCGGGGUAUUAAGCCGCUGAGCCAUAACGGGAACUCCCUGUGUCUGUGUUUCAUAUAUUUGUCCACAUAUAUUGUGAUAUUUGUCCUUGUCUGGCUUAUUUUACUUAGUAUGAUAAUCUCAUUAUGUGUACCUUUUUAAAAAAUAAGAGCCCUUUUGGGUAAGAGUUGUGAAUUUUUUUUUGCUUUAUUAUUUGCCAGUUUUCCUUAAACCAUUUUUUGGCUGUGCAGAGACUUUAAGUGUAUUUUUUUGUUUAGGUGGAAAGUAUUUCAGUCUAAGGUGGUUCUUAUAUAUGUCUUUAUUUUUUCCAUUAUAGCUGGUUUGCAGUGUUCUGUCAGUUUUCUACUGUACAGCAAGGUGACCCUGUCACACAUACCUGUAGAUUCAUCACAAGUGAUUAGCCAUAGUUCCUAGUGCUAUUCAGCAGGAUCUCGUUGUCUGUCCCUUCCAGAUGCCAUAGCCUGCAUGAAGUGGUUCUUUACAAAGGCUGACCCUUCGUCCUUCUCUAUCUUCUCUGGUGCUUCAUAGUGCCCUUGCCAACGUGCUCACGUUCCGUCCUUGUACUGCAUUCUUGUGGUUUCAUAGCAAGCUUUAAUACCUGGCGAUGCUAAUCUGACGUUUUCCUUUUUCAGGAGGCUAUUUUCACUCUGUGUAUUUUUUAUUUUUUAAGAAGAUUCCACCUAGAGUAAGUUACAGUAUAAAAGGUUUCAGGCUAACAUAGGAUUGACAUGUGGGAGUUCCCGUCAUGGCACAACAGAAAUGAAUCUGACUAGGAUCCAUGAGGUUGUGGGUGGGAUCCCUGGUCUCACUCACUGGGUUAAGGAUCCAGUGUUGCUGUGAGCUGUGGUGUAGGUCACAGAUUUGGCUUGGAUUCUGUGGCUGUGGCUGUGGCGUAGGCUGGUAGCUGCAGCUCCGAUUGGACCGCUAGCUUGGGAAUCUCCAUAUGUCUUGGGUGCGGCCUUAAAAAGCAAAAAAAAAGAAUUGACAUGUGAUCAUCCUGGGUCAUUCCAUCCAAGAGCACAGGUGCAUUUUGUUUAGAUCUCCUAUCGUGUCUUGCUGGCCUGUUGAAGUCGCUGUAUAAACCUCAUGAUUCUUGGUACAUUUAUCCCCACCUGUCGAAGUCCUUGGUUGUAGAGGCGUUUCUUCUGUUCACAUCCUAGCUGGCUGCUGUUCGCACGUGUGCAGACUAGUGGUUUCUGUGUUACUUGUGCACAGAUGCCUGGGUGUGAUUCUCUUGUUGGUAGUAACUCGUCACUGUUGCUGGGUUCCUGGCAUGGCAGGCGUGUUACUCACACACAGAGCUCUUUCACCCUCUCUCUGUUCAUGGUGCCACUGCUCCUGCCUGGCUGGCGCUUCGCCUGGAGGGGCCGGAGACGUGAGGUAGGCCCCGAGUGACCUCUGGGCUCCAGGUUUCCAUCUCUACGUGGGGUGCAGCCUUCCUUGCUCAGGGUUUUGUGAGCAUACGGAAGCCAGUCCAUGUGAGGCACUGAGACUGAGGCCUGGCACGUAGUGUUCAGCAACUGCUCCCUAAGACUGCAUUUCCCGCCCUGCACGGUGCCAGCUGUUGACUCUCCGUGCACAUGUAUUAUUACGUUUUAUUACUUUGGAAGUGUCUCUUUGGGAGAGUUGAUUUCUUCCAUGUGGCCAGGAGUGACAGUGUGCUUGCCCUGCAGUGACCAGCUCUGUCCUGGUGACACUGGCUUGAGUGAGGAAGUAGUGGGCGUGUCGCUGUCUGUCAGAAGCCCUUGGCAGCCAGUGUCGCCAGCAUGUGCACGUGAUGCAGUUUCUUGUCAUUUUCGUCGUCCUUUGACCAGGUGGGCUGGACGACACCCUGCACACCAUCAUUGACUACGCCUGUGAGCAGAACAUCCCCUUCGUGUUCGCCCUCAACCGCAAAGCGCUGGGGCGCAGUCUGAACAAGGCCGUUCCUGUCAGCGUGGUGGGGAUCUUCAGCUAUGAUGGGGCCCAGGACCAGUUCCACAAGAUGGUGGAGCUGACGAUGGCGGCCCGACAGGCGUACAGGACCAUGCUGGAGAAGGCUCGCCAGGAGCUGGCGGCGGAGCCUGGGGCCCAGGGUGCUGCCAGCCCGCCUGCACAGGGCCCCAGCGGCCCUGAGGAGGACGGCCCCCCGGGCCCUGCCGGGAAAGAGGAGCCACACUACAUUGAAAUCUGGAGAAACCAUCUGGAAGCAUACAGUCGAUGUGCCCAGGAGCUGGAGGAAUCGCUGGAGGUGUCAACCUCUCAGAUGAUGAACUUGAAUUUAUAAGGAGAGUUCUUUCCUCUGUGUGUACUGGGGGUAAGAAGGGGGAGGUUUGAAAGACUCUGGGGCCUUUUUCUUCUCAGUUCCUCGUUGACCCAGUGUGUGUUUUGUAUGACUAUUUAAUUGGGAAAUUAACCAGCAGUGUUUGUAGCAUCCAAAAGCUGCAAGGCCCACGGACGGGCACUCAGUAUGCUGGCAGGAACCUUUUCAAAAGGCCUUGGGAUGCAGCCUUAGCUCUCUGCGCACAAUAUGAGUCUGGAAAAUGCUGGGAGACGUACCCCGAGUACGCUGCUCAGGAGUUGUCUUGCCGUUGCAGAACAGCUGAGCCAAGUUAGAUUGUGGAGGGCAGCGGCAGGCCAGGGUGGAGCCCCUGGGAGGCCCCGGCGUUCCAGCCUGAUGUCCUCCUCGUCCCGGUGACCUAGCGCAGCCCUGCAGAGGCCUUUGACUGGCGCUGCAGGAGCCAGUGUCAGAGCAGGAGGGAUGGAGGGAAGCCUUUCUCGGGGUGUGGCUUUUCAGCUGACAGACUUGGGGAUACUUGGAAAGUUUGCUAACAUGAGCCUCAGAAGGAAAAUCAGUUCUCUAACCUAUGACCUUUUGACAGGAAUUACUCCUUUUAUUUUUCAAAGAAACAGUGUAUAUUGAAGUUCCUAAAUUUCAGUUUUGAUAAUCUACACAUAUUUUCUUUCUUUUGUAAAUGAACAUAUUCUGAAUGUGGUUUUGGUCUUAGAGGCCAGGAGAAUAGACGUUUACUUUCCUAUUUUCCUGUGAGUAAGAGGACUUAUUUAUUUUGAAUAAAGAGUGAUUAUUUAAUUUCACUGG